rnacentral:misc_RNA from 1 species
AGGUACAUUAGUUUUUAAAUUAAUAUAGGAUCUUUUGCUAGAACAUAUUUUGCAUAAAUAAUCAUUAAUCUGUUAUACAACAUAGGCUUUGCAAAUAUCAACUGCACUACAGAUUUGUAUGACGGGUUUUAUUCAUUUAACAAGUGUCAGUGUUUCUUGGCCCCCUCUAUAUUUUAACUUCACAAUUAAUUGAAUCUGAGGGCCAAAGUGAUUGUAGGAGAAAAGAAAUGAAAUUAAAUAGAUUACAAAUAAAGUUGAUUAUUACUUUAUACUAUCACAUCUGCUUUAAAUAUUACGGUGUUUACCCAAAAGCAUUGAACUAUAUCAAUAUACUGUCGAAUGGUUGUAUUAAUGGAACAUUUAGCACAUGUCGUUUAUCCUAUACUGUUUUGCCAUUUUCUUUGAGUUUCACUAGAAUCUACUAACGUUAAAUUUUUUUUAUUACUAUCAUGUCAUUUUGUGUUUACCUCGUGUUUAUUCUUAGAUAUGCACAACCUUCCAUUUCAUUAUAUCUGUUGGUGUACAGUGGGCAUAUGCAAACCAUCUUAGGGUUUGUUUCGUUUAGCAGUUGGAUAUAAUUGAUAAUUGAUGGUGGAUAAUUAAUAGUUGAUAAUUGUUAUUGAUAACUAGUAGUUGAUUGUAGUUGAUAUAUGCUAAGUGUUUGAUAAAACUAUGUCUAGC